rnacentral:lncRNA from 1 species
AAAAGAUGUGUCCAUGAAAAUAAGCACGCACAGCAUUUAUCUGUGUGACCUUGGGCCAGUUUUCUAGCCUUUUUGGAUUACUGUUUUCUCAUCUGUAAAAAAUACAGUGCUUUACAUUUAUUGGGUGCUAACCCUGUAUGAGGCUUUGAGCUAAGCACUUUACAGUCAUGAUCUCAUUGAGUCCUUAAAACACAGCCAUGGAGUAUGAACUAUUGCUGUUUUACAGACGGGAAGACUCUGGCAUAAAGAAGCUGCAGGUCACUGAGCGGUUAAGUGGCAGAAUGACAACCUGAAGGUAGCAGUCUGGCUCCAGAGCCCACAAGUUACUCACCACCCUGUAAUGAAGGGAUAAUGAAGGGAAACCUCCGUUCCUUGUCUUCAUGUUUUCUCAAGAGGCUUCUGCCAAAGCAACAUUCCUGGGCUUUCUUUUCAUUCUUAUUCAUUCCUUUCCACGAAAAGAGUGAGUUGCUUAAUAAGAAAGUUUGGGGAGCAGCUUCCAGGCAUACUCCACCCAGCCUCUCCCUGGCUUCUCAGUCGCUGGUGAAGCAGCUUGACCUCUGGAUGUAAAUACCUCUGCUGAUCCAUGUAGCCACACACCUGGAACUGGGACCUGGAAGACAUCGGCUCCAGCGGCAGCUGGUUCAUCUUAUAGCUACAGCCCAGACACAUGGAGAAUUUAGAGAAGAGAGGAGAAGGAGAUUUUCAUCCCUCUCCGCGAAAAAAGAGGAAAGCUUCACUUUUAUGAUGUACACUAGCGUACUGGCUUGGGAACUGAGGUGUUCCUUUUAUAGCAUUGCUUUGCAUAAGACUGCAUGAUUCCAACUUACGGUACACCAGAGUGUGAUUAUAUUUAAAAGUCAAACACGGAAGAUGUCCAUUGUCCACAUCACAGAAGAAGGAUAAGCAGCAGCAUGAAUCACAGUUCUGUGUGCCCUAAUAUGCCCCCAAACUAAUUGCUUAUAUGCUUAAAUAAAGGGCUCUACUUUGGGUACCA